GGCGUUUCAAGUGUUCUUAUAUGAGGAACUACUGAUGUGGCAAAAAGUAUGGCUAAAAAAUGGAAAAGAAAGGGUGACCAGAAAAUCUUUCAUGGCACCAUAGCUGGAGAACACUACCUUUUGUGGGAACUCCACAAUUGGCUUACAUGAUUUCAUCCUAAUAAGCUUUUCAAUUAGGUCUUUCCAAUAGGAUUUUUUUCCCUAAUUUUUUUUCUUUAAAUGAAUGAAGAUCAUCAUCAUUUCUGUCGGUAUAUGCAGAUGUCAUUCUAUGCUUCAACAAUAAC
rnacentral:lncRNA from 1 species